UACAGAGGUCUCAAGCGUUGUUCGGAAUCACUGGGCGUAAAGGGUGCGUAGGCCGCACGGAAAGUCAGAGGUGAAAUCCCGGAGCUCAACUUCGGAAUUGCCUCCGAUACUCCCGUGCUUGAGGACUGGAGAGGAGUCUGGAAUUCACAGUGGAGCAGUGAAAUGCGUAGAUAUUGUGAGGAACACUAGUGGCGAAGGCGAGACUCUGGACAGUUCCUGACGCUGAGGCACGAAGGCCAGGGGAGCAAACGGG
rnacentral:rRNA from 1 species